rnacentral:ncRNA from 1 species
GGUGAGCUAUCCCUGGGCAGGCUGAAGCGGGGGUAAGACCCCGUGGAGGGCCGAACGGACGUACGUUGAAAAGUGCGCCGAUGACCUGGGGAUAGGGGUGAAAGGCCUAUCAAACC